GAUGAAACCUAGCGCCGUUGCUUCAUUUGUUUACUUGGUCAUCCCCCUCAAGUUGGCGUUUGGUAAAUAGACCAAACCUAACUUGGACACUAACUCAGUAACUAUCAUAGUGGGAAGUGAUUUUGUGAGUAGAUUCGCUAAUUGAAGGUGUGAAGGGACAUGAGAUGUAGUUAAAAAAACCACUUUAUAAUCGAUGUCGGACAACAUGACAAUUGAUAUCGAUGUGCUUCGUCCGCUCGUGGAAAACUGGGUUCUUGGCAAUGUGAAUCACCGAUUGAUUAUCACAAAACAGAGGAAUCGAAAGCUUACAGUCCACUUGUAAAUCCUUCAAAAGAUAAGUAAUCCAAACUAGUUCACAAGUUAUUUUUGCCAUGGAUCUGUACUAUGCUUCAGCUGUAGAUCAACUAAUAAUAUUUUGUUUUUUUUUAUUAUUUUCCAAGAAAUAAGAGUGUCAUCGAGAAAAACACAGUACCUAGAGAGAGAUCACCGCGUGAGAGUGCAGGCCACCCAGAUCAAUGUCGCAGUAGGCAUGCAACUGGAGGCUAUUUUGAGAAGGAAAAAAGAGACCUUGGGAAGCUAUACCCUUGAGAUCUCGGAGUAUGUGUAAAGCGACUAUGAGAUGAUUGGUUCUGGAUGUUUUCAUAUACUGAUUGAGCUGCUGAACACCAUAUGUUAUAUUCGGUCAAGUUAGAUCUAAGUAGAGGAGAUGACCAACGAGCCAACGAUAUCUCUCAGGAUCUGGUAGUAAGGAUCCCAUGUUAGGUGAUGGAUCAAUGCUAUUGGAAGAUGCUAGGGCCACAAAGUCCAACAACCAGUCAGGUUUUAUUUUGGUUCUGGUACUUCUCCUUAAGGUAAUGGUAGGUAAGGUCGGUUCAUGUAAUUUAUGCAGGCUGUUAUUGUCAAGGUAAGGUCGAUAAGGUUAAGUAUUUGGAGUGUUGUUGUGUGAUGAUGAGACCUGGUCUCAUGUGGUUACAUUGUGUGUAUUCUGACUGUCUGUGGUGAAAUGAUGUAUUGUUGUGUUUGGAGUGUUAAGAUAUUUGAGAACUAGUCAACUCUCAAUGAUCACCAUACACUUGUUCAAAUGCUGUAAAUAUUUUCUGUUUUUGCAAUUUGUUAUUUCCUUGA